rnacentral:rRNA from 1 species
GUCGAGAAUUUUUCACAAUGGGCGAAAGCCUGAUGGAGCGACGCCGCGUGGGGGAUGAAUGGCUUCGGCCCGUAAACCCCUGUCAUUCGCGAGCAAAGCUGCCGGUUGAACAAGCCGGCAGCCUGAUAGUAGCGAAAGAGGAAGGGACGGCUAACUCUGUGCCAGCAGCCGCGGUAAUACAGAGGUCCCAAGCGUUGUUCGGAUUUACUGGGCGUAAAGGGUGCGCAGGUGGCAGGGUGAGUUCGGUGUGAAAUCUUCGAGCUCAACUCGGAAAUGGCAUUGAAUACUAUCCUGCUGGAGGGUCGGAGGGGAGACUGGAAUUCUCGGUGUAGCAGUGAAAUGCGUAGAUAUCGAGAGGAACACCGGUGGCGAAGGCGAGUCUCUGGACGAUUCCUGACACUGAGGCACGAAAGCUAGGGGAGCAAACAGGAUUAGAUACCCGGGUAGUCC